AACGAACGCUGGCGGCAGGCCUAAUACAUGCAAGUCGAACGAAGCCUUCGGGCUUAGUGGCGCACGGGUGCGUAACGCGUGGGAACGUACCCCUGGGUGCGGAACAACGUCGGGAAACUGACGCUAAUACCGCAUAAUGACUCCGGUCCAAAGAUUUAUCGCCCAGGGAUCGGCCCGCGUUAGAUUAGCUAGUUGGUGGGGUAAUGGCCUACCAAGGCUACGAUCUAUAGCUGGUCUGAGAGGAUGAUCAGCCACACUGGGACUGAGACACGGCCCAGACUCCUACGGGAGGCAGCAGUAAGGAAUAUUGGACAAUGGAGGGAACUCUGAUCCAGCCAUGCCGCGUGAGUGAUGAAGGCCUUCGGGUUGUAAAGCUCUUUCAGGUGCGACGAUGAUGACGGUAACACCAGAAGAAGCCCCGGCUAACUUCGUGCCAGCAGCCGCGGUAAUACGAAGGGGCGAGCGUUGUUCGGAAUCACUGGGCUUAAAGCGUGCGUAGGAC
rnacentral:rRNA from 1 species